UUUUCCUUGGCAUCCAGCUGCGUUCCUGCAGGUCUCCCAGUGAGAGACAAAGCACAAUGUCUGAGUUGAGCACAAAGAAGCCACCUUUAAAAAACAUCGACUUAGAGGAAACCUGUGUCCUCAGAUAUCUCCCUCCCUUCCCUGCUAUUUACGGAACCCAGCGUUAUACUUAACACAGCACUGCCUGUUGUCUGCAUGAUUCCGGCCAGCAAACUCGGGUGGAGAUGGCAAUAUACCCACUGUGUGUGUAGAUAGGUAGAGACCCCGAUUUUCAGGAGCUACCUGCUUUCCAGGAUCGAUGUGUAGCCGAGCUCCGAAAACGCGUGCCACCAGAAAUGAUGGGAGACACUCCCCUACUCAACUCAAGAUGUCUUUCAUUUUUAUCUUCUGCCACUUUUUUGUCAUCUGAAUUAUUGCUUAUCAUUACCAAGGGGCUGUAGGCUGAUCAGUGGAGUGUGCGUGGAUCUGAUGGACAUUGGAGGAGAAAUACUUCAGAAAGAAGGACAAUGUCUGCGGUAGAAGUAAAGGGGUAGGAGAAGCCACAGUGAGUGAUGAGUCCAUUGCAGAAGCCAAGUGGUAAAUCAGUGCAUAUGGCAAAGAUAGUCAAGGAGCAAAGCCUGCCGCUGGAAGGAAAGAGAUUUUUAGCGUUGUCGUCAUCUCAUGCCUGAAUAGAGUGCGUAUUUUAAAUAGGGCUUGGAAUCUCUGCUCUUCGUGCCUCUAAACGCCGACUGCAAGGAAGUAUUUGGGGGCUGUUGACUUUCUGUCCGUAAAGAAAACCCAGCAAGGCUCACAGAAUUCUCCACCUGCACGCAUACAGGCAUAGGUGCCCUAAAUGCCCGGUGGGAUGCGGAACCAUUAGGCGGAGAACUGCGCCCUGGUCUCCUCUUCUUCGCUCCUUUCUCUCCCCCCCCUCCACUCCUCCCCUUUCUUUUACCCCUUCUAGAAAACGUGAUACCUGAUCUCUGGGUCUAGCAGGCUGAGGGGUUGUUUUUUUUUCUUUUUUUUUUUUUUUUCCUGUAUUCGUAUAAUACAAUGUCUGGCCUUCCCCCUGACCUGCUGGUGUAUUUUUGGUCUCAUUAGCAGUCAGGGAGAUGCCUUAGUGCAUCCGGGGCUGCGAGUCAGGGAUGAGACACUACAACGGAGAGAGAGAGAGCGAGCGAGCGCGAGAGGAUAUUAGAAGGGAGGCUUGUCUCCAAGAUAUGGAAGGAAGUGAGAAAUGACAGGACCGCAAGCUUUGUAUGUAGGAGCCUGGCAGGGCGGGGGAGCGGCGGGGAAAGCCAAGUGGAUUCUCAGAAAAGGAGGGAAGCCGUAGAUAGAGCUAACGGUGAUUAGAGGGGGGAUAUUGAUUCCUUAUUCUGCCAGAGAUUUAAGCAGGCAUGCGAGGAAUCUGAACCAUGGUUGGCAAAAGGAGCCUCUGUAACCAGACACUCGGGCUUUCCAGGAGCCCAGGGAGAGAGCUGAGAAGAAAGGGGGCAGUGUGGUCUAGGAAAAUUCAACUUGUCGCUGAUUUGUGCCUGAUGCUUGCUGUCCGUCAGCAGCCUCCCUUACAAUCUUUUUUUCUCUCUCUCUCUCCCUUUUUUUUCUUGCCUUCUCCUUCUUCACUGAAGCCUAGGGGAGCCAGCAAAGAUUAAAUGUGCUUUCUCAAAGGCGGCCACUUCACGCUGCUAUGUCGAAAAGGCCAUUAUUAUUAUUAUUUUUAAUAGUAAAAGAAAAAGGGAGAGAGAGGUUGAGACAGGGAGAGAGAAGCAAGGUAGGUUGAUGACGGACUAGCCUUUCUGAGAGGAAAAGGAAAGUGAGAGAGAAAGGAGAGACCCUGAACUGAACGGAGGAUUGUGCCUGCGAAGAACCUACAGAGCAUGAGCUACAGAGUUACAGUCUCGAGAUUUGGUGUAUCGCUUCCUGCCCCCGCCUCCCUCCCCGCCCCGAUGUCGGUCCUCUGUUGAAACACCUCGCCCAGGCUAGCGCACUGCGAGCUCCCAUUUACCCCCCUUGCUCGGAAUGGUGUUGCACGAGAGCUGCAGCCCUGCUCCGCUUCCAAUGGUUGUGUCGAUGUUCCUUUCAGCUGGUCCUAUAGCCCCCCUCCUCAGGAAGGUCUCCCCAGGGCAAGGACAAAAACUUCAGAGACACAGCUGCACUGAUGGACGCUCAAGCCAACAAUGGAGUUGAAACAAAGAAAGAGAUCACCUGAAGACACCUUCCCUGCUAAGCAGCACACCCCAAAUGGCGCAGUUGCAGGCAAUAGAACUCUCAGAACAGGAGACCAUGUUUUCAAGAACCAGACAAAAUUUAACAGUGACAUCUAGAUUUCUAAAGAGCCAAGGACUUUCCCUUCCUCGUGUGUAUUCCUCUGUUUGUAUUUAAAUUCAGUGUGACAUUCAUUUCUAAAAUAUUUUCCCGGGAUGAGUAUGCUCGUGAAGGCAUUGAUGGUUUUACAACAGAAAAUUGCACACAGGUGUUCACGGGGUAAGGAACAACAUUAGUGCUAUAAGAACAUCGAUUUUUAGCCACACACCGUUUGAUCUUAAGAGUGACCUGAAGGAACAUAAAGUACUUUCGAAAUACCAAAGUAGUCAGAGGCAAUCCAAAGGAUAACAUAGUGGACAUUAUCCCACCUGACACAGACCAGUCAACCAUUCUUUUAAUCCAGCAAAAUAGGUUCGCUGAGACAUGAUCCCUGCCUCUAAAGAGUUUAAAUUUAAUGAGACCGAGAAACACAAACUUUUGAAAAGAUAGUAACCAAUCAGGUGCAUCGAUGUUAAGACCACAGUAAAACUCAAGAGAUAAUAAGCAAAGAGUUCAGAGGAGGUCACCAUAAUCUGGGCAAACCUGGCCUGUUUAGGGAAGAAAGUUUCCAAAGGAGGAAAACACAAGAUGAAUCUUAAAGGAUAGUAAGAUUUAGGGGCACCUGGUUGGCUCCGUUGGUAGAGCAUGCGACCCUUAAUCUCAGGGUUGUGAGUUCAAGCCCCACAUUGGGCGUGGAGCCUACUUACAAAAAAAGGGGGGAGAGGUAUUAAAUAUUUAGAUGAAUGGAAAGGAAAGAGAGAGUAGAUUGCUUUAAAUGAAUGCAAUGUGAGCAAAGCCAUGGAGGAAGGAAUCUAUGUGGUGAAUAUUGGGAAUUAUGAGUAUACGUGUCUAGUUGACAUUGAAUGCCAGCAUACAUAGACAUAUACGGUAAGGACUUCGCACACACACGUCCCCUCUCCCACCUUGGGUGUCACCUAGAAAUACCAUCUUAUUUUCCACAAAAGCAAGUGGGAGUGAUUGGUGGUAAUAUGAGAACUUACGAUUUUUCUUUUCACUUAAUAACAAUUAGUAUUUAUCGAGGUCUUAAUGUAUGUUAAGCAUUUGACGUAUGAACUCGCUUAAGCCUACAGCUCAGAACAGCCCUGCAAGAUAGGUACGAUUAUCCCUGUUUGGAAGCUAACAGUUAAUGAGAUUAAGUAACUUGCCAAACUGCCACGCACAGGGUCCGCACUCAGAAUUGUGACCUUAAAUCUCAUGAUCUGAAGCACGAAGUCCCAAUAUUGUGAUCAGUGUUGCAGUGUUACCACUUCCGUAUUCCCCGAUAGUUCUUUAUGGUGAACAAAUGGCUAUGACAUUCAGUUAUCCCCUCAAAUUUUUCAGUUUUCUGCUUAAAUGACAUUAGAACGAUCGAAAGACUUUUCAUGGGAGAAAACUGACAGAAUUGGGGAAGAGAGCUUCUCAGCAUUUUAGGGUGUUGUUUGUUUUUUUGCCAGACGUUGAGGAAACGGUUCGCCUUGUUCUGCACAAAAUCUAAAAUUCCUGAGGAUUAAUAAAGGAGGGGGGAAACUCAAAGGUCAUCUGUUGCAACAUGCUUUUCUACAGACGGCAAAUCAAAGUGUGAGUGGCUUACAGGAAGCUCACACAUUUGAGUGUGGCAGAGCUAGGUCCAGAAACCAGGCUGUCCAGUCUCCUCUCCGAGGCUCUUGAACUACCCCACCCUGCCUACAUGAAGCAUGAACUUGAAUUUGAUCAAGGAAAGUGUUCUGUCUGGGUGAUCGGGGGGGGGGGGGGGGGGGGGGAGGGGGGACUGCGCCUAGCAGGUUGUUUCCAUUUUGCACCUGUUUCGCUUCCCACCUCAACGUGAAAACUAGCCAGUUAUGAACUGACAUCUUCUGAUGUAGACAUUGUCAAUGGUCCACCCCCAAAGAACACAUAAUGGAUCAAAUUAUGUGCACCAUGUCUCCAAUGCUAUUCUUAAGUUAUUUGGAAUUCUUAGUUCACCUAAACCAAUCGGGUCUUCUGAUGAGCAUUUCCCGAUUUUAUGCGCAGUAUGUAUUUGUCAGUGCUUCUGCAUGAAUAUUUAUACACGACUGUUUCAAUAGUCCUUAUGUUUUUGAAAAUAUCAAUGGUUAUUUGCUAUUUUAAUCCUCACUUAUCCAUGUAACUAACUCAAGAAUACUUCAGCCAUAAAAAGCUAGAAGUGAGGAAAUCUCACUCUUUUUCACCGGAUCCUUCGCAUUUAAUUGGCAUUUAGUAAUGAUUAAUAAAGUGGUCAGCUGGAUGACACAGUUCCCAAAUGCAAUUCUGUCUCGAAGGAGUCCGUUAAACUGCAUCUACUUAAGGACACACAUCUAGACAUUUGGAAGCACCUGAAUAUUUGUGGUAAAUUUCCACUUCAAAAUCUGGCAUUGCCAGACCUAGACCUCCUUGUGGCUCAGGCCGUCCCGUUUUCAAAAUGAUGAUUAUUGGCCCUGUCUCACACAGUUCUCAUUAAGUGAGUAGCCAAGCACAAAAUGUGACUUUGUUGACAUUUUCUGAGACUUUGUCGUGUGUCCCUUGAAUCCCCAAAUAAAAGCAACGUUGCAUCAACUGUGAA